rnacentral:tRNA from 1 species
GGGCCGGUAGCUUAGCCUGGUUGGAGCGCUCGGCUGAUAACCGAGAGGUCCUGCGUUCAAGGCGCUCGCGGAAAAUCGCUGAACAAAUCGCAGCCGGCCCA